UAAGUCGCUACGCGGUAGCCUUAGGCCUGCAUUUCGAGCGGGGAUAGGUUGCUUGCACCUGAUUCCUACCGGCGGACGGGUGAUUAAUGCUUAGGAAUCUGCCUAUUAGUGGGGGACAACGUUCCAAAAGGGACGCUAAUACCGCAUACGUCCUACGGGAGAAAGCAGGGGAUCUUCGGACCUUGCGCUAAUAGAUGAGCCUAAGUCGGAUUAGCUAGUUGGUGGGGUAAAGGCCUACCAAGGCGACGAUCUGUAGCGGGUCUGAGAGGAUGAUCCGCCACACUGGGACUGAGACACGGCCCAGACUCCUACGGGAGGCAGCAGUGGGGAAUAUUGGACAAUGGGGGGAACCCUGAUCCAGCCAUGC
rnacentral:rRNA from 1 species